CAUAUGUCGAACGUACGACUCAACUCGCGCUUCUACUACUUAAAAAAAAUUUAGCAUCGUUAAGUCCAGCUGAUCAUGACACAUAUUUCAAUCGUGUUAUGACACUUUUAUCAAUCCUUUUAUUUAUAUAUAUUUAAGAAAGGAAAGGCCGUCACAUCGUGUGUGGAGCUUUUCUCCAGUCGACCUCGCAUUGCGGUUCCGCGGAUUAAUCAGUUAGGAAUGCCAGGCUGACGGCGAGGAAGGACCGAGGGAAAGGAGCGAUCGGAACUCCGAAUUGUCUGUAAAAUUAGAAUAAACAGGAAGUCGCAGGUGCUUAAAUGAUGUAAAAUGACAGAGAUUCAGAGAAAGGAUGGCAUUCUGCUACUCCAUUGGAAACCGAUGUUUGUUCGAUAUCGCGCGAGCGAAUCGCGGUAUUAACGUGGGUGUCCCAGAAGGACGGGAGGGAGGACGCAAAGAGACGACGACCCGGCAUUGUGUGAACCUCCGCUAUUACAUCCAAGGUUACCCCCGACGAGUCCUGCAGAGGAGUAUGCAAGAGCAUAAUGCCAACGUUGUCUGAUUAAUGCGUUGAGGUUAUCAGCGCGAGCGGGAAACGAAGCAGGAAAUAUUUAACGCAGUCGUAAACGAGAAAGCAAACAUUUUUUCUUCGACAGAAAGAGAGCGAUAAGGAGACGCGAGAAUAAAAACAGGAAGGUUCCCCCGGGCGAACUUCCGGCGUGAUGAGAGACGCGGCGAAAGAAGAUGGACAUCUUCUUUUUUUUUUCAUUCACGCACGUAUCUUGUAUUAUGCACGCGUGUUGUAUUAUGCCGCACGUGAUCCGUUCAACCGUUAGACACGCGCGACGCAAUAAACGUGAGUCCCUCACGUGAGCGCGACAAAGCGUAUCAAUAAAGAUACACCCACGUUCGGACAGUUGCGUGUGGAUAUAUAAUUUUUCUUUUCUAAUCUAAUGGCGACUCGCGCGUACAACGUUGAUUAAUUCGUCGCGCGCGCCAGCGAAUUGUCCUCCACGUUUCCGUUAGGUGUAGUUUAACAGGCGGCUUAAUUUAUGAGGCAAUUACGAAUUGAAGUAAUUGCGUCGUUCACGACAACUGCGCAAAUAUAAUAGUGCUGCAAAUUUUCCAAGAGAAACGCAAUCGCACAAGUUAAUAUCAAAAUAUAAAAAUAUAAAGAUAAUAAAGAUUGAGAAACAUGUCUUGAUCAUUAUUCCGUACCUUUA